CUUUUACAAUGAAGAGUUUGAUCCUGGCUCAGGAUGAACGCUAGCUACAGGCUUAACACAUGCAAGUCGAGGGGCAGCAUUUUAGUUUGCUUGCAAACUAAAGAUGGCGACCGGCGCACGGGUGAGUAACACGUAUCCAACCUACCGAUAACUCUGGAAUAGCCUUUCGAAAGAAAGAUUAAUACCGGAUAGUAUACGAAUA
rnacentral:rRNA from 1 species